rnacentral:rRNA from 1 species
UACGAAGGGAGCUAGCGUUGUUCGGAAUCACUGGGCGUAAAGCGCACGUAGGCGGAUCGUUAAGUAGGGGGUGAAAUCCCGAGGCUCAACCUCGGAACUGCCUUCGAUACUGGCGAUCUUGAGUUCGGGAGAGGUGGGUGGAAUUGCUAGUGUAGAGGUGAAAUUCGUAGAUAUUAGGAAGAACACCGAUGGCGAAGGCGGCCCACUGGCCCGAUACUGACGCUGAGGAGCGAAAGCGUAGGGAGCAACCAGG